CUGCAGCUCAAGUGGUGAUCAUUAUUAUUGGGCCUAAAACGUCCGUAGCCUGUUUAGUAAAUGCCUGGGUAAAUCGUGUAGCUUAACUAUACGAAUUCCGGGUAGACUGCUAAACUUGAGACCGGGAGAGGCUAGAGGUACUCCUGGGGUAGAGGUGAAAUUCUGUAAUCCUAGGGGGACCACCAGUGGCGAAGGCGUCUAGCUAGAACGGGUCUGACGGUGAGGGACGAAGCCCUGGGGCACAAACCGGAUUAGAUACCCGAGUAGUCC
rnacentral:rRNA from 1 species